ACGCGCAGUUCUCCGAGCUCUGGUCCUGAGCCGCUGUUUCCCAGAAGAAGGCCUACGUGAGCUCUUGGAGCAGACGAGGGAAAGGGAGGAAGGCUCUACCCUUAAAAUCCUCUCGAAGGUCAAGUUUGAGGCUUGCCGAAAGGAGGAGAAAAGUGUCGAAAAAUGCCGCUACAGGGUUUGCGGGAAGGUUCUGCACGGAGACUGGUUGGAAAUGCCUUUCUCCCCCUAAAUACCAGAUUAAUUUCUCUGAAACACACAAUGUAUUUGUCAUGCCCAAAGGAUGAUGAUAGAUGGUUUUUUAAGCCCAGAGUAAAGUGUGCAUUUGUCUUGUAUAUCAAGGCUACAAUGAAACCACGAAGAACUGGAGAGGAGAUCACCCAGCGUUGGCUGCUUAAUAGGAGCGGGGAGAGCGAGUGAGGAGUAGAGACGGGGGGCGGGGCGAGUGGUGGCCCAAGACCUGCUCCAGGUGGGCUGUUCCCUGUCGGCUCCUGGAACAGGACGGGUAAGCCGACUAAGAGCGCAAACGGGGACCCAUGAAAAGAAAAGAAAAAACAAGAUCCGGGAAUAGUUUGUUACUGUUAUUUACAUCCAGACUCUGGUUUUCCGGCCCUUUACAGCUGCUGGUGAAGAGUAUUCAAGCUUUGAAUACUGCUCUGAACUGACCUUGAGGCACAUUGAGAGGAAAAAUCACUGGAGAAAAUCGCGGUUUGUGUAGUGCUUUGAGAUCCUCUAACGCGAAAGCAAGAGAAUUGUGAAGUGACCUUGUUUCAUAGAUCUCUCUACGUCCACAUUGGAAUACUAAGGGACUUUUUAGUGAGAAUUGAGUCAGUUCCCCCUUAAAUCUUACACCGCAGAGAAGUGAGUAGAGACCGCAAGAUUUAAAAUAACAUUUUGUCAGCUUUUAUUCUUUCAACACAUUUUUAUGGAGUGGUGCUUAUUGUGUGCCAGGUACACAGCAUCUUUUUCCAUGCGAAACACAUUACGCAGGCAGUGAUUUGCAGGUGUACCGGAAAUUAGGGAAAGGGAUAGGAAUUCUGGAUGCUUUCUGUUCUGGAAUUGCUCAUUGUCUUGCAAGAAGAAGAGAUAUAAUAACAGAUAAAUAUGGCACAGUGUAACAUGGAGCAUGGAAACAGCUUAAAUAUCUGUCAAAAGUGCAGUGAAUUAAUGUAUUGGCAUAUCCCUACAGUGAAAUACUCUUUAUGAAUUGACUAUCUUAAAAGCAAUGUUGGAUGAAAAAAAGCAAAUUGCAAAAGAAUACAUGUGAUAUUGGCCGGGCGCGGUGACUCACGCCUGUAAU
rnacentral:lncRNA from 1 species